rnacentral:rRNA from 1 species
GAUGAACGCUGGCGGCGUGCUUAACACAUGCAAGUCGAGCGAAGCGCUUAAGUCUGAUUCUUCGGAUGAAGACUUUUGUGACUGAGCGGCGGACGGGUGAGUAACGCGUGGGUAACCUGCCUCAUACAGGGGGAUAACAGUUAGAAAUGACUGCUAAUACCGCAUAAGACCACGGUACCGCAUGGUGCAGUGGUAAAAACUCCGGUGGUAUGAGAUGGACCCGCGUCUGAUUAGGUAGUUGGUGGGGUAACGGCCUACCAAGCCGACGAUCAGUAGCCGACCUGAGAGGGUGACCGGCCACAUUGGGACUGAGACACGGCCCAGACUCCUACGGGAGGCAGCAGUGGGGAAUAUUGCACAAUGGAGGAAACUCUGAUGCAGCGACGCCGCGUGAAGGAUGAAGUAUUUCGGUAUGUAAACUUCUAUCAGCAGGGAAGAAAAUGACGG